rnacentral:rRNA from 1 species
AUUGAACGCUGGCGGCAGGCCUAACACAUGCAAGUCGAGCGGGGUUUUCGGACCUAGCGGCGGACGGGUGAGUAGUGCGUAGGAAGCUGCCCGAUAGAGGGGGAUACCAGUUGGAAACGACUGUUAAUACCGCAUAAUGUCUACGGACCAAAGUGUGGGACCUUCGGGCCACAUGCUAUCGGAUGCGCCUACGUGGGAUUAGCUAGUUGGUGAGGUAAUGGCUCACCAAGGCGACGAUCUCUAGCUGGUUUGAGAGGAUGAUCAGCCACACUGGAACUGAGACACGGUCCAGACUCCCACGGGAGGCAGCAGUGGGGAAUAUUGGACAAUGGGCGCAAGCCUGAUCCAGCCAUGCCGCGUGUGUGAAGAAGGCCUUCGGGUUGUAAAGCACUUUCAGCGAGGAGGAAGGGGUGUGUGUUAAAAGUACACACCUUUGACGUUACUCGCAGAAGAAGCACCGGCUAACUCUGUGCCAGCCGCCGCUGUAAAAC